rnacentral:rRNA from 1 species
AUUGAACGCUGGCGGAAUGCUUUACACAUGCAAGUCGAACGGCAGCACGGACUUCGGUCUGGUGGCGAGUGGCGAACGGGUGAGUAAUAUAUCGGAACGUGCCCAGUCGUGGGGGAUAACGUAGUGAAAAUUACGCUAAUACCGCAUACGAUCUAUGGAUGAAAGCGGGGGAUCGCAAGACCUCGCGCGAUUGGAGCGGCCGAUAUCAGAUUAGGUAGUUGGUGAGGUAAAGGCUCACCAAGCCGACGAUCUAUAGCUGGUCUGAGAGGAUGAUCAGCCACACUGGGACUGAGACACGGCCCAGACUCCUACGGGAGGCAGCAGUGGGGAAUUUUGGACAAUGGGCGCAAGCCUGAUCCAGCCAUUCCGCGUGCAGGACGAAGGCCUUCGGGUUGUAAACUGCUUUUGUACAGAACGAAAAGCUCUGAGUUAAUACCUCGGGGUCAUGACGGUACUGUAAGAAUAAGCACCGGCUAACUACGUG